UACGUAGGGCGCGAGCGUUGUUCGGAAUUACUGGGCGUAAAGCGCACGUAGGCGGCUUUGUAAGUUAGAGGUGAAAGCCCGGGGCUCAACUCCGGAAUUGCCUUUAAAACUGCAUCGCUAGAAUUGUGGAGAGGUAAGUGGAAUUCCGAGUGUAGAGGUGAAAUUCGUAGAUAUUCGGAAGAACACCAGUGGCGAAGGCGACUUACUGGACACAUAUUGACGCUGAGGUGCGAAAGCGUGGGGAGCAAACAGG
rnacentral:rRNA from 1 species